UACAGAGGGUGCUAGCGUUAAUCGGAAUUACUGGGCGUAAAGCGUGUGUAGGUGGUUGAAUAAGUUAGAUGUGAAAACCCUGGGCUUAACCUGGGAACUGCGUAUAAGACUGUUUGACUAGAGUAUUGUAGAGGAUAGUGGAAUUUCCAGUGUAGCGGUGAAAUGCGUAGAUAUUGGAAGGAACACCAGUGGCGAAGGCGACUAUCUGGACAGAUACUGACACUGAGACACGAAAGCGUGGGGAGCAAACAGG
rnacentral:rRNA from 1 species